GUUUCGUUAGCUCAGCUGGGAGAGCAUCUGGGUCACAACCAGAAGGUCGACGGUUCGAACCCGCCACGGAACACCA
rnacentral:tRNA from 3 species